AGAUAAAAUUUAAUAACUUUCACAAGCA
rnacentral:tRNA from 1 species